rnacentral:misc_RNA from 1 species
GAUGAAGAACGCAGCAAAAUGCGAUAAGUAAUGUGAAUUGCAGAAUUCAGUGAAUCAUCGAAUCUUUGAACGCACAUUGCGCCCGCCAGUAUUCUGGCGGGCAUGCCUGUUCGAGCGUCAUUUCAACCCUCAAGCACAGCUUGGUGUUGGGACUCGCGUUAAUUCGCGUUCCCCAAAUUGAUUGGCGGUCACGUCGAGCUUCCAUAGCGUAGUAGUAAAACCCUCGUUACUGGUAAUCGUCGCGGCCACGCCAUUAAACCCCAACUUCUGAAUGUUGACCUCGGAUCAGGUAGGAAUACCCGCUGAACUUAAGCAUAUCAAUAAGCGGAGGA